CGGCUUGCUUGUUACUCAGUGCCUAACUAGGUCAUGGGAUGUUCUUUUUCUUCCAGAUCCGCAGCACAUGGUUUAUGCUAAGCUAGCUCUCCUCCUACGAACGACCAUGGCAUUAAAAACAGCGCCCGAACAUUUCCUUUGGACCUCGGAAAAUUGUUUUCAACCUCGCUAGGAUUUCAUCUACCUUACAGGGAGUUUGCCAGGAUCCGUUUUGCCUCAGCUGGAGACUUGGUUGGAUUUGUGUUCUCUUCCUGUUUUUGACACAGUAUAACUAAAAACUGUGUAUGGGCUGGACUCAAGUUUCUCUGGAAAAAAAAU